ACGCUGGCGGCGUGCCUAAUACAUGCAAGUCGAGCGCGAUCAUGAGGAGCUUGCUCCUCAUGAUCGAGCGGCGGACGGGUGAGUAACACGUAGGCAACCUACCCUUGAGAUUGGGAUAACUACCGGAAACGGUAGCUAAUACCGGAUACGACAUAGUCACAAAAGUGACUCUGUUAAAAGGCGGAUUUAUCUGCCGCUCAUGGAUGGGCCUGCGGUGCAUUAGCUAGUUGGUGAGAUAGAAGCUCACCAAGGCGACGAUGCAUAGCCGACCUGAGAGGGUGAUCGGCCACACUGGGACUGAGACACGGCCCAGACUCCUACGGGAGGCAGCAGUAGGGAAUCUUCCGCAAUGGACGAAGGUCUGACGGAGCAACGCCGCGUGAGUGAUGAAGGGUUUCGGCUCGUAAAACUCUGUUGUUAAGGAAGAAUACUUGAGGUAGUAACUGGCCUUGAGAUGACGGUACUUAACCAGAAAGCCACGGCUAACUACGUGCCAGCAGCCGCGGUAAUACGUAGGUGGCAAGCGUUAUCCGGAAUUAUUGGGCGUAAAGCGCGCGUAGGCGGUAAAAUAAGUCUGAUGUGAAAGCCCCCGGCUCAACCGGGGAGGGUCAUUGGAAACUGUUUUACUUGAGUACAGAAGAGGAGAGUGGAAUUCCAUGUGUAGCGGUGAAAUGCGCAGAGAUAUGGAGGAACACCAGUGGCGAAGGCGGCUCUCUGGUCUGUAACUGACGCUGAGGUGCGAAAGCGUGGGGAUCAAACAGGAUUAGAUACCCUGGUAGUCCACGCCGUAAACGAUGAGUGCUAAGUGUUGGGGGGUUUCCGCCCCUCAGUGCUGCAGCUAACGCAUAAACACUCCGCCUGGGGAGUACGGCCGCA
rnacentral:rRNA from 1 species